AGUGAACACUGGAUGAGUCCAUGGUGGGGACUGAGUCCUCCCAGUCCCGACUUCAGAAUAGCCCUGGCCAGGAAUCAGGCCACCUCAGCACUUUUGUUGCCAUUGUUCUUCAUGUCCUAAGCCCUGCCCUCCUCUCCACUUGCUCAAGCCUGCUUAUGGGGAGGACUGAAUGCCUCGCCCCUGUCAACCACAGCCAGUGCUAUGGCUGGAGGGACCAGAAGGAAGCCUGUUCAGUCCAAGGAAGGAGAGGCCACCACGGACCCACCCUGGUGCUCUACAGCUGCUACUUUUGCAGUUGUGCCAGACCUGGCUGAGGAAUGUCCCCAGGACCGCCCCCCUCCAUCCCUCCGGCCCCACCCAGAGGGACUGCAGAAGGAAGCUGCUCCUAUGUGCCCUGCUACCUCACACAUGCUGUUCCAUGGGUCUGCCUUCCACCAGGAUUAAAAAUCUAUGCACCCCCAACACCAGGAGAAAGGUUCUUGGUGCAUUCAUGUCCCUGUGCAGCAAGUGACAGAUGCUCAACAAGGACCCAAGCAGUAUCUGUUUUGGAGAAGUCCCACCCCACGGAUCCCAAACACAACCUGG
rnacentral:lncRNA from 1 species